rnacentral:rRNA from 1 species
AUUGAACGCUGGCGGCAGGCCUAACACAUGCAAGUCGAGCGGAUGAAGGGAGCUUGCUCCUGGAUUCAGCGGCGGACGGGUGAGUAAUGCCUAUGAAUCUGCCUCGCAUUGCGGGAUAACGUCCGGAGACGGGCGCUAAUACCGCAUACUUCCUGAGGGUGAUAGAGGGGGAUCUUCGGACCUCACGCUAUCAGAUGAGCCUAGGUCGGAUUAGCUAGCUGGUGGGGUAAAGGCCUACCAAGGCGACGAUCCGUAACUGGUCUGAGAGGAUGAUCAGUCACACUGGAACUGAGACACGGUCCAGACUCCUACGGGAGGCAGCAGUGGGGAAUAUUGGACAAUGGGCGAAAGCCUGAUCCAGCCAUGCCGCGUGUGUGAAGAAGGUCUUCGGAUUGUAAAGCACUUUAAGUUGGGAGGAAGGGCAGUAAGUUAAGACCUUGCUGUUUUGACGUUACCAACAGAAUAAGCACCGGCUAACUUCGUG